GAAAAAAAAAAAAGCAUGUCAGUGAUAACAGAGAAUGUAGAAGUUUGAAUGUGUUUUCCUAGUAUUUGGCUCGAUUGCUUUUUAAAUUAUGACUUGGGUCAAAACGUUCGGGUGUCCUCCACUGCCCUUUUGGUCCGUUUGUCCUGACUGUACCGGUGGAGUCGAGUCAGGCGAGUCAGCUGCUCUCUUUCUUCUGAGAUCAAAGCUUUCCGGUGGCCGCUCGAAAACAUCGACUCUGUUGUCGUGGAGACCUAAUUUGGUCAUUGUUCUUCGAGUCCAAGCUUUUAACUUCCUGGCUGCCGUCUUUAAGAAGUUGCUUUUAUAGCUUGACAUGUUGUUCUUUCCUUAUGAGGCGAAACAUUUUAUGAAGUUCACCAGUGUUCCUGCAGCAAAACACCAAAACGUCAUGAUGCUGCCCACUCCCCAAAGCUAACAGUCGGGAUUUUCUCAGGCUUGUUAGCUUCUCCGUAUUAUCUCCACAUAUAACUAUGGUCAUAUUAGCAAAAGAUUUCACCAUUUUUUCUUCAUCAAAUUACAGAAAAUGUCUCCAAAAAUAAAACUUUGUCCAAGAGUGCUUUUGCAAACAGUGACUUGGCUUCUUAAAUUUUUUUUUUUUUUUUUUUUUCGAGUAAUGACCUCUUCCUCACUGAGUGACAUUUCAGCCCAGGUUCUGCACAAGACAUGUUUCUUAUAAGAUUAGUUGAUUUUUGUUAUUUCCCGUUUUGAUUUUCUGAAAAAAAAAGAAAGAAAAGAAAGAAAAUCAUACCUUGGCAAACAUUGUUUUGUCUUUAUCUUGUUGACUUCUGUUUUUGUAGCAUUUUUGACCUCAUUUGUCAUUUUGAUCACAAAUCACAACAAUUUUACGUAUCCAGAGACAGACUGUUGUGUUUUCUCUUUAAUGAAAUAAAGACAUCAUCAACCUUUUCCUCAAAGGCUCUUGACAAACAUCUCUCACACUGAGGUUAGCUGCUUAACCUGUAAGCAGAGGAGUUACUUAGAGAGCUGCUGCGAACGAGAGGAAAGGAUCCAUACAGACUCUUCGAGACAAUCAUCUGGUAGUAAUAAGCACCCCAAAAGGAGAAAACAUAAUGAAUAAAAACCAGACGCCCUGAUGACAGCUCUGGAAAAAAAAAAAAAAAACGGCUGACAAAGUUUUUCAAGAGAUUUCGGUUCCCAUGUGGCCGUGCGGUAAUUAGGACGCCAAUUUCUGCCUGAUGAGUGAGCCUCCCCCCUUCCACCCCCUACUUGUCUAGCCACCACAAAAAGGGAGAGCUGGAAUAAAAUACACAAGAUGCAUAAUUUCCAGUCCAGAUAAACAGCAUAAUGUUUCAUUGUAACACUAAUUACGACCUCAGAAGGAUUGCGUAACGACGGGCGGCUGUGAUAUACGACGAUGACCUCUCGGUAUGAGACUUUGGUGCUUCCCUAAUCUUGAAAAACGGAUAGAGGUCAGAGUGCCCUUUCCAACAAAGCCGCCUUCUGCCUUUUCUUGUCGCUGCGGGCGGCGGCAAACGCUGCACAAACACGCAACCCCGCACGCUGUAAUUACAGAGGCAUUUUAAACACAGGGUCCUCAAAGCCUGGGUGACUGGCCCCUUCAGCGCCGCAGAUACCCGCUGCACGUUUACUCAUGGAUGAUAGCAAAACUUCCUCGGCGGAGAAGAGACACGCUGGAGGUGGGGUGGACGGUCUGGGGCUGAGAAGAGGUGGGGGUUGGGGGUGGUUGCGUGGGGUGUGGGGGUCUAGCCCCACCUCACUACAGCAGAAAGCAGGAGGGAGGAAGAAAGAAAAUCCACAGCCAUACAGGCUACGCUUCCCCCAGCUGAGCUGUAUCUGCAGUCGAACGGUGGGGGAAAAAAAAAAAAAACAGCAACUUUAUGGAGACAUGCUCCUCCCGCAAACCUGCCAGCCUCAUCUGUCAGCCAUUAGUUAAUCAGGGCUGGUGACUGGGAAAAAGCUGGAGAGAGAAAGAAAGAGAGAGAACGGGCGAGGCCCCUGGGACUGGAGGACAGCUUGAAUCUCCGAGAGCCUCAACGAGGACAAGGACUCUGGGACCUGAAGAUCCACAGCUGGCUCUACAGAAAUGGUAGCUGGAAAACCCCGAGCAAACCCCACCCACUGCAUAACUCACCACAGGAAGGUUUUGAAGGACCGGAGUCCAAACGACACACGCCGUCACCGACGGCGGUGGGAGCAGAGGGAUUUCAAGAUCCAUGGAUCGGUUCUGUUCUGCAGAAAAACGACCCGGAGUAACACCGUGCUGUCUUUCACAUAGUUGUGAUGUGCAAAGUCGUUCUCCUAAUUAUGAACGCAGAUGAUGACAUGAAAUAAUAACUUCCUGUUUCUUUCUAUUUAGCAGACUGUUAACUGUAAAUACAACAAACUUCAGCCGGGUUGACGCUAAACAGCCUGUUCUGGACUCGGUGCCUGUAAGUACAAAUCUGCCAGCUGGAAAUAGACAGAACAACACAUUUUUCCCCCUCUUUUUUCUUCUCUGGAAAGAGGUAAGUAAAAGCAAAAGCCAGGUUUAGGCAAUUAUAUAAAAAGGUACAGUUUGAAAGCAAUGCAGAUUUGCAUUAGUUUCCUAUAGUUUAAAGUGAUUUCAAUGAGAUGCCCAAGAAAUUUGCAUGACUAGUAUUUUCUCUGGUUGUAUGUGUAUGCCUCUUACACUUUACUGUACAAAACACAAAGCAGCAUAAAGAUAUUUAUUAUGCACAACAAGCACUUUAAAACCACAAUUUGUUUCACAUUGAAAAACAAAAAAAUUUGUUAUUCUUAUGUUAUACCAAAACAUUA